CCUACGGGUGGCAGCAGUGGGGGAUCUUGCACAAUGGGGGAAACCCUGAUGCAGCGACGCCGCGUGAGUGAUGAAGUAUUUCGGUAUGUAAAGCUCUAUCAGCAGGGAAGAAAAUGACAGUACCUGACCAAGAAGCCCCGGCUAACUACGUGCCAGCAGCCGCGGUAAUACGUAGGGGGCAAGCGGUAUCCGGAUUUACUGGGUGUAAAGGGUGCGUAGAGGGUUAUGUAAGACUGGAGUGAAAGGCUGGGGGCCAACCCCGGGACUGCUAUGGAAACUGUGUAACUGGAGUACAGGAGGGGCAGGCGGAAUUCCUGGUGUAGCGGUGAAAUGCGUAGAUAUCAGGAAGAACACCAGCGGCGAAGGCGGCCUGCUGGACUGAAACUGACGUUGAGGCGCGAAAGCGUGGGGAGCAAACAGGAUUAGAUACCCGUGUAGUC
rnacentral:rRNA from 1 species